UUUUACUGCUAUUACUUUGUAACCUGAUCUUAUCAAAUCUCAUAAACUAUAAUCAGAAAGGUUGGGCCUAGUUAGUACUUGGAUAGGAGACCUCUAAGGAAACCCAGGUUGCUGUUGAAA
rnacentral:rRNA from 1 species